rnacentral:rRNA from 1 species
CCCUUAGAUGUUCUGGGCUGCACGCGCGCUACACUGAUGUGUCCAGUAAGCACCUAACCUAUUCCGAGAGGAGCGGGUAACCUUAGCAAAGCACAUCGUGAUGGGGAUAGAUUAUUGCAAUUAUUAGUCUUGAACGAGGAAUUCCUAGUAAGCACAAGUCAUCAGCUUGUGUUGAUUACGUCCCUGCCCUUUGUACACACCGCCCGUCGCUCCUACCGAUUGAAUGUUCCGGUGAGCUCUUCGGACUGCGCGGUCUGCAGUUUCUGCGUUCCGUGCGGAAAGUUGUGCAAACCUUAACAUUUAGAGGAAGGAGAAGUCGUAACA